rnacentral:rRNA from 1 species
GAUGAACGCUGGCGGCGUGCCUAAUACAUGCCAGUCGAGCGAACAGACGAGGAGCUUGCUCCUCUGACGUUAGCGGCGGACGGGUGAGUAACACGUGGAUAACCUACCUAUAAGACUGGGAUAACUUCGGGAAACCGGAGCUAAUACCGGAUAAUAUAUUGAACCGCAUGGUUCAAUAGUGAAAGACGGUUUUGCUGUCACUUAUAGAUGGAUCCGCGCCGCAUUAGCUAGUUGGUAAGGUAACGGCUUACCAAGGCAACGAUGCGUAGCCGACCUGAGAGGGUGAUCGGCCACACUGGAACUGAGACACGGUCCAGACUCCUACGGGAGGCAGCAGUAGGGAAUCUUCCGCAAUGGGCGAAAGCUUGACGGAGCAACGCCGCGUGAGUGAUGAAGGUCUUCGGAUCGUAAAACUCUGUUAUUAGGGAAGAACAAAUGUGUAAGUAACUAUGCACGUCUUGACGGUACCUAAUCAGAAAGCCAUGGCUAACUACGUG